rnacentral:rRNA from 1 species
GAUGAACGCUGGCGGCGUGCCUAAUACAUGCAAGUCGAGCGAACGGACGAGAAGCUUGCUUUUCUGAUGUUAGCGGCGGACGGGUGAGUAACACGUGGAUAACCUACCUAUAAGACUGGGAUAACUUCGGGAAACCGGAGCUAAUACCGGAUAAUAUUUUGAACCGCAUGGUUCAAAAGUGAAACACGGUCUUGCUGUCACUUAUAGAUGGAUCCGCUCUGCAUUAGCUAGUUGGUAAGGUAACGGCUUACCAAGGCAACGAUGCAUAGCCGACCUGAGAGGGUGAUCGGCCACACUGGAACUGAGACACGGUCCAGACUCCUACGGGAGGCAGCAGUAGGGAAUCUUCCGCAAUGGGCGAAAGCCUGACGGAGCAACGCCGCGUGAGUGAUGAAGGUCUUCGGGUCGUAAAACUCUUCUAUUAGGGAAGAACAUAUGUGUAAGUAACUGUGCACAUCUUGACGGUACCUAAUCAGAAAGCCACGGCUAACUACGUG